CCUACGGGCGGCAGCAGUGAGGAAUAUUGGUCAAUGGACGCAAGUCUGAACCAGCCAUGCCGCGUGCAGGAUGACGGCUCUAUGAGUUGUAAACUGCUUUUGUACGAGGGUAAACCCCGAUACGUGUAUCGGGUUGAAAGUAUCGUACGAAUAAGGAUCGGCUAACUCCGUGCCAGCAGCCGCGGUAAUACGGAGGAUCCGAGCGUUAUCCGGAUUUAUUGGGUUUAAAGGGUGCGUAGGCGGUUUGAUAAGUUAGAGGUGAAAUGUCGGGGCUCAACCCCGAAACUGCCUCUAAUACUGUUAGACUAGAGAGUAGUUGCGGUAGGCGGAAUGCGUGGUGUAGCGGUGAAAUGCUUAGAGAUCAUACAGAACACCGAUUGCGAAGGCAGCUUACUAAACUAUAUCUGACGUUGAGGCACGAAAGCGUGGGUAGCAAACAGGAUUAGAUACCCUAGUAGUC
rnacentral:rRNA from 1 species